rnacentral:rRNA from 1 species
CCUACGGGUGGCUGCAGUGGGGAAUAUUGGACAAUGGGCGAAAGCCUGAUCCAGCCAUGCCGCGUGUGUGAAGAAGGCCUUCGGGUUGUAAAGCACUUUCAGUGGGGAAGAAAGCCUUGGGGCUAAUACCCUCGAGGAAGGACAUCACCCACAGAAGAAGCACCGGCUAACUCCGUGCCAGCAGCCGCGGUAAUACGGAGGGUGCGAGCGUUAAUCGGAAUUACUGGGCGUAAAGCGCGCGUAGGCGGUCUGAUAAGCCGGUUGUGAAAGCCCCGGGCUCAACCUGGGAACGGCAUCCGGAACUGUCGGGCUAGAGUGCAGGAGAGGAAGGUAGAAUUCCCGGUGUAGCGGUGAAAUGCGUAGAGAUCGGGAGGAAUACCAGUGGCGAAGGCGGCCUUCUGGACUGACACUGACGCUGAGGUGCGAAAGCGUGGGUAGCAAACAGGAUUAGAUACCCCGGUAGUC